AUUGAACGCUGGCGGCAUGCCUUACACAUGCAAGUCGAACGGCAGCGGACCUUCGGGUGCCGGCGAGUGGCGAACGGGUGAGUAAUAUAUCGGAACGUACCUUUCAGUGGGGGGAGUAACGUAGCGAAAGUUACGCUAAUACCGCAUAUUCUGUGAGCAAGGAAAGCGAGGGGAUCGCAAGACCUUGCGCUGAUUGAGCGGCCGAUAUCAGAUUAGCUAGUUGGUGAGGUAAAGGCUCACCAAGGCGACGAUCUGUAGCGGGUCUGAGAGGAUGAUCCGCCACACUGGAACUGAGACACGGUCCAGACUCCUACGGGAGGCAGCAGGU
rnacentral:rRNA from 1 species